CGGAGUGUAGCGCAGCCCGGUAGCGCACUUGCAUGGGGUGCAAGGGGUCGAAGGUUCAAAUCCUUUCACUCCGACCA
rnacentral:tRNA from 1 species